rnacentral:lncRNA from 1 species
GACUCCCUUUAAUAUCUAAAUUCCAAUUAAUUCAGGCAGAAAUCCCACCGGAAAAGCCAAUUUUUCAGGCCAGUUUCAGGCCGCAAUCCACCAGGUUGAGCGCGAUUAUUUCCCUCCAUUUAAUACCUAAAUUCCCAUUGAUUCAGGCAGAAAUCACACCGGUAAAGCCAAUUUUCAGGCAGAAAUCCCACCGGAAAAGCCAAUUUUCAGGCAGAAAUCUCACAGGUAAAGCCAAUUUUCAGGCAGAAAUCUCACCAGAAAAGCCAAUUUUCAGACCCCCUUUAAUCUCUAAAUUCCCAUAAAUUCAGGCAGAAAUCUCACAGGUAAAGCCAAUUGUUCUGACUGCUCUUCAUAGCUAAAUCCCCAUUAAUUCAGGCAGAAAUCUCACAGGUAAAGCCAAUUUUCAGGCUAGUUUGACCGGUUGAAUCGCAGGCCGAAGUCACACAGGUCAAGCUCUAAAUCCCCAUGAAUUCAGGCGGAAAUCUCACAGGUAAAGCCAAUUUUUCAGACUCCCCUGAAUCCCUAAAUCCCCAUGAAUUCAGGCAGAAAUCUCACCGGUAAAGCCAAUUUUCAGGCAGAAAUCUCACUGGUAAAGCCAAUUUUUCAGACUCCCUUUAAUAUCUAAAUUUCCCAUUAAUUCAGGCAGAAAUCUCACUGGUAAAGCCAAUUUUUCAGACUCCCUUUAAUAUCUAAAUUCCCAUUAAUUCAGGCAGAAAUCCCACCGGAAAAGCCAAUUUUUCAGGCCAGUUUCAGGCCGCAAUCCAACAGGUUGAGCGUGAUAAUUGUCCUCCAUUUAAUACCUAAAUUCCCAUUGAUUCAGGCAGAAAUCUCACCGGUAAAGCCAAUUUUCAGGCAGAAAUCCCACCGGAAAAGCCAAUUUUCAGGCAGAAAUCUCACAGGUAAAGCCAAUUUUCAGGCAGAAAUCUCACCAGAAAAGCCAAUUUUUCAGACCCCCCUUUAAUCUCUAAAUUCCCAUAAAUUCAGGCAGAAAUCUCACAGGUAAAGCCAAUUGUUCUGACUGCUCUUCAUAGCUAAAUCCCCAUUAAUUCAGGCAGAAAUCUCACAGGUAAAGCCAAUUUUCAGGCUAGUUUGACCGGUUGAAUCGCAGGCCGAAGUCACACAGGUCAAACUCUAAAUCCCCAUGAAUUCAGGCGGAAAUCUCACAGGUAAAGCCAAUUUUUCGGACUCCCCUGAAUCCCUAAAUCCCCAUGAAUUCAGGCAGAAAUCCCACCGGUAAAGCCAAUUUUCAGGCAGAAAUCUCACAGGUGAAGCCAAUUGUUCAGACUGCUCUUCAUAGCUAAAUCCCCAUUAAUUCAGGCAGAAAUCUCACAGGUAAAGCCAAUUUUCAGGCUAGUUUGACCGGUUGAAUCGCAGGCCGAAGUCACACAGGUCAAGCUCUAAAUCCCCAUGAAUUCAGGCGGAAAUCUCACAGGUAAAGCCAAUUUUUCAGACUCCCCUGAAUCCCUAAAUCCCCAUGAAUUCAGGCAGAAAUCUCACCGGUAAAGCCAAUUUUCAGGCAGAAAUCUCACUGGUAAAGCCAAUUUUCAGGCAGAAAUCCCACCGGAAAAGCCAAUUUUUCAGAUUCCCCUGAAUAACAAUAAAUUCCCAUUAAUUCAGGCAGAAAUCUCACUGGUAAAGCCAAUUUUUCAGACUGCCCUUCAUGUCUAAAUCCCCAUUAAUUCAGGCAGAAAUCUCACAGGUAAAGCCAAUUUUUCAGACUCCCCUGAAUCCCUAAAUCCCCAUUAAUUCAGGCAGAAAUCCCACCGGAAAAGCCAAUUUUUCAGACUCCCCUGAAUCCCUAAAUCCCCAUGAAUUCAGG